GCUUGUCUCAAAGAUUAAGCCAUGCAUGUCUAAGUACAAGCCUCAGUAAGGUGAAACCGCGAAUGGCUCAUUAAAUCACACCUAAUCUACUGGAAAGUUACUAGUUACUUGGAUAACUGAGGUAAUUCUUGAGCUAAUACAUGCGAAAAAUCUCGACUCACGGAGAGAUGCUUUUAUUAGAUCAAAACCAAACGGCUUCGGCCGUCUCAUUGGUGAAUCAUAAUAACUGUUCGAAUCGCAAAGCGCAAGCUGGCGAUAGUUCAUUCAAAUUUCUGCCCUAUCAGCUUUCGACGGUAGUGUAGUGGACUACCGUGGCGUUAACGGGUAACGGAGAAUUAGGGUUCGAUUCCGGAGAGGGAGCCUGAGAAAUGGCUACCACAUCCAAGGAAGGCAGCAGG
rnacentral:rRNA from 1 species